UAGAAUUCCACGUGUAGCGGUGAAAUGCGUAGAGAUGUGGAGGAAUACCGGUGGCGAAGGCGGCCUUCUGGACAGAUACUGACGCUGGGAUGCGAAAGCGUGGGGAGCAAACAGGAUUAGAUACCCUGGUAGUCCACGCUGUAAACGAUGUCGAUUUGGAGUUUGUUGCCUAGAGUGAUGGGCUCCGAAGCUAACGCGAUAAAUCGACCGCCUGGGGAGUACGGCCGCAAGGUUAAGACUCAAAUGAAUUGACGGGGGCCCGCACAAGCGGUGGAGCAUGUGGUUUAAUUCGAUGCAACGCGAAGAACCUUACCUGGUCUUGACAUCCACAGAAUCUUGCAGAGAUGCGAGGGUGCCUUCGGGAACUGUGAGACAGGUGCUGCAUGGCUGUCGUCAGCUCGUGUUGUGAAAUGUUGGGUUAAGUCCCGCAACGAGCGCAACCCUUAUCCUUUGUUGCCAUUGGUUCGGCCGGGAACUCAAAGGAGACUGCCGUUGAUAAAGCGGAGGAAGGUGGGGACGACGUCAAGUCAUCAUGGCCCUUACGACCAGGGCUACACACGUGCUACAAUGGCGUAUACAAAGGGAGGCGACCUCGCGAGAGCAAGCGGACCUCAUAAAGUACGUCUAAGUCCGGAUUGGAGUCUGCAACUCGACUCCAUGAAGUCGGAAUCGCUAGUAAUCGUGAAUCAGAAUGU
rnacentral:rRNA from 1 species